rnacentral:ncRNA from 1 species
ACUGUCCCUAUCUACUAUCUAGCGAAACCACAGCCAAGGGAACGGGCUUGGAAUAAUUAGCGGGGAAAGAAGACCCUUUUGAGCUUGACUCUAAUCUGGCAGUGUAAGGAGACAUAAGAGGUGUAGAAUAAGUGGGAGAUAUUAGACCUCGGUUUGGUAUCGUCAAUGAAAUACCACUACUCUUAUUGUUUCCUUACUUACUUGAUUAAAUGGAACGUGUAUCAUUUCCUAGCCAUUAUACGGAUAUAUUUAUUAUAUCUUAUGGUAUUGGGUUUUGAUGCAAGCUUCUUGAUCAAAGUAUCACGAGUUUGUUAUAUAAUCGCAAACAAAUUCUUUAAUAAAACGAUGCAUUUAUGUAUUUUUGAUUUGAAAAUUUGGUAUAACUCCAAUUACUCAGGUAUGAUCCAAUUCAAGGACAUUGCCAGGUAGGGAGUUUGACUGGGGCGGUACAUCUCUCAAAUAAUAACGGAGGUGUCCCAAGGCCAGCUCAGUGCGGACAGAAACCACACAUAGAGCAAAAGGGCAAAUGCUGACUUGAUCUCGGUGUUCAGUACACACAGGGACAGCAAAAGCUCGGCCUAUCGAUCCUUUUGGUUUAAAGAGUUUUUAACAAGAGGUGUCAGAAAAGUUACCUGAGUCGCGAUCGAACACUCGACGAGUGCAGACGUGCCUGCGGAUCGACAGCAAAUUGUUAGCAAAUUGUUAGCAAAUUGUUCACAGUUGUAAGUCCCGUUACUUGUGCCCAGCCACUUCGCGUCGCGU